AAUACUGAGUCCCAUUGCAUUGUGGUAUAAUUGUAUUCAUCAUACAAACUUUACUGGAGGCAGCCUGUGGUGAAGACUGAAUGAAUAAAUGUGUGGAGAUUAUGGGAACAGUGCCCCGUAGAGGCCAAUUAGUGAACUGCAUGUAAACGACUGGAAAGUUUCCAUUGCGCAUGCUCUGUUUAGAAGCUGCAUAGCAGGAUGUGAAGAGCCAGUUAAGCAGCUCAUGAGUUUGUUAUGAAUAUUUGUUACUGUGUGUCUUGUGAUUGUGUGCAUCCAUAGAACUAACCACAGACACACACAUGUAAACCUACCCAACCAAAAUCUACUGUAGAAGAGAAUAAAGAGAAUGCAGAAUAAUAAUGCCCAGUGAUCAACACACCAUAAUGUUUUCUUCAUUCUGGUACAAGAUGUCUUGGCUGGCUGGAAAACAUGGGCAGUGGUGUCACAUGAACCAGAAUGGCCCUUUUAGAUAACCAGGUGCCACUGGAAACAAGCCAAAAAAAACACUCAAGGCUUCGACACCACCCUGCAAUUCACCUGGACAACUUCAUGGAUCAUUAUUCCAGUGAUCUCAAAUUACCAGAUUAGCAGUAAAUGAGAAGACUGGACAGAGACUGGUGUGCAACUUGAGUUGUUUCCCAAGGUCUGCUGUUUGAAGCCAAUCUGGGGCCUUGGACAGUCAGCCAAUUUGUUGUCUGUGGCCUGUUCUCAAAGUUUCAGGAGAAGAUGAUGUUUACUGACCUGAAAGAAGUAGAUGAUGUUUUCCACAAUUGCUGUGAGCACCUGGUCGUGACGCCAGUGGUUGUGAAUGUUUUUACUAGGGCUGGGCGAUAUUCUUAAAUAAAUAAUCUUAAUAUUUUUCA
rnacentral:lncRNA from 1 species